rnacentral:misc_RNA from 1 species
GAAAUGCGAUACGUAAUGUGAAUUGCAGAAUAUGUGAGUCAUCGAAUCCUUGAACGCAAAUGGCGCCCAUUGUUCUCCAAUGGGCACACCUGUUUGAGGGUCGUUUUACCUCAUAUCAAACCCUCCCUCAUGGGUUUGGAUGUUGAGCAUUCGAUAGUCAUAUAGUUCUAUCUAUUGCUUGAAAUGUAGGGCGAGGAAUAGUCGGAAGCAAUGCCGGGUAUUAGGCUUGAGUCUGGAUGAUUCAAUGAAGCAUUCGUCAAGUCUGUCUCGACUUUGCCUUGGCUACUCUCAUUGCCAACUAGGAAAAACCGCAUUUGGCGGUACCCUCCAAAAACCGACCUCAAAUCAGGUGAGAUAACCCGCUGAACUUAA